GUUUCACCGUUGACGAGGACGAGUAGUUCUUGCCCUACCCUGUCACAGAGAGUGGGGAGUGCUGGGAACCCCAUACAGGAACAAGGAUGAAAAUCACCUCUGAGGUGUUUGCGGAAAGCUGAAUCGGCGAGUACAGCAAACCGGGGCCUUCCCGUUACAGUGGGGCAAACUGGCGCAAGCACGGUCAAGAGUCUGGCCGCCUGCAAGGUUUGACAGAUGGAGCGUCACACCGUGCGUUGAACCUUCGGAGGUUGCAUCCGAGGUUUGCCGAUCCGAUGGUGGUUGACGUUAAGUUGGGUGGUACAGCGGGAAUUCAACCCGCCCCUUCA
rnacentral:ncRNA from 1 species